ACGCCUGUAGCUCAGCUGGAUAGAGCGUUGGUUUCCGGAACCAAAAGUCGGAGGUUCGAGUCCUCUCAGGCGUG
rnacentral:tRNA from 1 species